GUCUCUGUGGUGCAAUUGGUUAGUACGUUCAGCUGAUAACUGAAAGGUUGGUGGUUUGAACCCACCCAGGGAUU